rnacentral:lncRNA from 1 species
UCUGUCUUACAUAGCAAAUUUUAAGCAUGCCACCGUUCAUUUUCUGCAUUUUGUUUAGACUAAUGUUCACGUUUUUCGGAUGCAAGGCACGCAAAAGUCUUCUGUUUACGGGACAUAGCUUUUGCUCUGUGACCUAUGAAUUAACCUUCGACCUUUGAGGCUCUCACGUGACGAGAAAAAAAUUCCUUCCCACGUGAGAACGUUGAAACCAUGGACAUUUGACCACAAAGCGCCAUUUGACAUAUUAGAAAGUGAUACUGAUGGAUAAUCUUUCGGGCUUUUAAGUCCAAAUUCUCCAAUUCUGGAAAAUUUGAAACAGGAAAAUACCCAAGCUACUAGGUAAGUCGAAACAGUUGCGAAGUCUGUCGUAAAUUCACGGUUACUUUGCAGAAAAGAUGAAAGUGAAUGGGUGGAAACGCUUCCCUGCGGCACUGAUUUUCAUCGAUAAAAGGUCAGUCUGAAAGGUCGGCAUAUGAAUGAAAAUGAAUGAAUGAAAACCAGGGACCCAACAAAUAUUCCCACCCUAGAGCUGUAGAACCCAUUUGGAAGUUCUGAGUUACAAGCAAACUUGGCCAUAACGAACUUGGAGCAUUCUUGCACGGUUACGUUCCUCGAAAGUUUGUCGAAUUUUGGGGAACAGUGCACAAGUAUACGGUAGGAAUAGCAACUGGUUGUUCGCCCCUAGUCUGUUGAAAUCGCCGUUGGGCCUUGACCUUCGGGAUAGGUCGAAAAUCUGACGGAUCACGAGCGGAGACUGCAGUUCGCUAUAAACACAGCAGUACUCUUGUUUACUUUCGUUUUGUUUGUUCUGCAGGGGUCAUUUGAGAAUGUGGCGGGAAGGGGUGGGGAGGCGGCUAUAGGGAUUAUAAAGGAUACGCUGGGUUAUUGUUCGCAACUUUCGGUCGCCGUGCUCACACUCUUCAGUUAUGCUGACGCAGAAAGCAAGUUGUCAAAUUUAUAGCAUACGAACCAAAAUGACGUUGAUAUAGCCUGAGUGAAGUAUUCAGGAAAAUCAAAGUCAGCUGAACACUUUGUUCACAGGGGAGGAGGUAAAGACUGUCUCAGACCAGUGUUACAAACUCACGCAGGGUUCAGACUGCUUGUACGGUGCAAAUAUGCGGGGAAGCUUAAGUUGAAUUGUAAAGAACUGUAAAUCCACCAAAUAAUGUCUCCAUGAAGUAGAGACAUCAACAUCAUCCCUUUUCUCGGCAUUCUCCGGGCAUUUGACCAGUUAUGGGUCCCCGAGGGAGGAAUUUCGACGUCGAUAUUUGUUGUUAGGAUGGGGGAUUUUACACCAUAUGGGAGGGGCCGGAGAAAUUUGAACUGAAGUUGCCUCGAAGUCAUGGUGAGGCUCCAAGGCAUUAAGAGACAAUACCAGUUCACGGUAACGUUGUGGCUUGACAAUAAAAGUUUUGUACUGUGUUUAAAGGCAAUUACAAAAUUUUGCUUGUCACACUGGGGAAGUUCAAAGCGGAUAUUCAACAGUGAAUUUUUUUAUUAUUAUUUUCUUUUCCAUUACUCAUUUUUGCCUUGUACAUGUCCCGUAAGGAGGGGUCUUCUCGCUAGUAUAGUGGGGCACAUACAACUUUUUUGGCCCGGGGAAGACCAACCAGAAACUCCAAAUACCCGGGAUGUUGGAGUAUAGAACUGAAUGGUCCAAUAGAAAAUAACAUUAAACUUGGCAAAUGUAUGGCAAUUAUUAACCAUUUCAUAUUACGUGUAUGCGCAUUUAGCCUGCAGUGCAGGCGUUUUCCCUGUGUUUACGAGUUGCUAUCGGUAUUAACUCGUGAUCGAGUAGAUUCGCCGCCAUGUUGGCUAGGGAAAAGUGGGCAAGGACCCCCUUACUCCACUUUCAGCCCCACUCCCCGCUAGCUAGGACGCCUUUUAGUCUCUACCCAAGCCUCUUCCGAAUUUGAAUCGAAGAUGCCACUAGCUCAAUUGAUCGAAAGGCACGCGCUCGCCCCCCGAAAUACGCCUGCAUUGUAUCCCGUGAAGAAAACAUCCCUUGUCUGAAACACUGGGCAAUUGUACUUGGCAGCUUUCCUAAUCAGGAAGUUGGAUUAGUAAUAAUUACAUUUUACACCAAAGUUCAAUUGAACUACCUUGCGUACACGUUGUGACAAGGAGUACAUCUCCAGCUCCCUGUUAAACAGAAAUGUGGAAGAAGUGUUUUUCAGUUGACUGGCGGGUCUGGUCCAUCUGCUGGUUAUGUUUCAGGUGAUUUUUGUGACGGAAGCUAUUGUCAAGUCAAAAUGAGAGGGACAAUUAUUUCUGACACUGGCAAGUGAUUCUGGAUUACAUGUUCAAGGCGCAAACACGAACAAGAUUCAACCUUCUCGGAUUGAAUUGUAGGCUCGAGGAGAUUAAAUUCCCGAGGCUUAGGCUAUUUUGACAGUGAAAGAAUCAAAAACCGUUUGGUAAGUGAACGUUCAUUUUGUAGCCUAAAUUUGUCGUGUUAGCUUGCAAAUGAUGUGUUCGUCCUCCUGAGUAGUUACCCGUACGUUAUUAAUGGUAAAUAAAUGUUGCUUGGUUCUGUCUCUUAUACUUCAUUCAGUUUUACUUUGGGCUUCCAGUAGUUUUGGGGAGUAGAAAUCCCUUUUCAUUCUGACGUUAUCCGUGAAGGUGCGUACCUACUCUACAAUUCGGGAAGAAGACAAUCUUUGAUUAAAGAUAAUUGCGCAAUUAGAGCGGUUUUCAAUGGAGUGUCGUAAAACCAAAACGUAGAGUAGUCAGCCAAUCUCA